UGAAAACAGAACUUUAGUUUUUUGGCUCCUGCAGUUUUUUCUCGUAGAUCGCCUGAACUUCUCGCAGACAGACAGACUGUUUAAACUGUGAAGCUUCCCGAGGGGCAAAUGCAUCUGAUCAAAGUGUGUGUUGUCUUUUUGAUCCAUCUGAUCCCGAAUCCUGAGAUCCACAUCAGAUCCAUCAGCUGAAAUGAAGUCAGAUAUCCUCCAAGAAAACAGCUGCAGACACGGUGAGGAAAGUUUCUCUGAAACUUGGUCUGUUUUCCUUUUUUUUUUGUUAGGUGUUGCAAACCGUAAAAAUAUUUCCUAACUUUAUUUUUUUUUUACAAACAACCCAAAUGCUGUUUACCCAGGUGUGACCUCAAUCUCAGAUCUGGAAAGCGCCAUCAGUUCUUGUCCUUGUUUGUGAUGGGCCCAGCUGUGACCUACAGAAAACUCGAGGUAAACUCCAGAGCGGUGAUGCUGCAGAGCCAGCAGGUCUGUUAGCCGUUAGCUCGUUUAUCCAUCUAACUAAAAAAAUGACCACAUGAUAACGGUCGGAGAUCAUUGUUUUGAUUACAGGCUGGAGUUCAAAGGUCAUUCUUGCAGACGGCGUAGACAGUGCAGAAGCAGAUCUCUCUGUAACCCUGACGUUUGUUCCUCAGCUUCCCUCGAAAGCCUCGAUCUGAGGUGGACCCUCCAGUCAUGCUGGCUGCUGGUUCUUGUUAGUCCGGGGAUGUGGACUGCAAAACAGAAACCAGAUCAGAUCAGAUCAGAGGGGAAAAGUGGUCGACAACAACAACAAACCGGCAGACGACCUCGGACUCCGACUUCUGUGGACUCGGCUGCUCCUCAUGUCGGCUGGAGGUCGACGCCGAGAAGAUCACAUCGUCUGCAUAGAGCAGAGAUGGAGCUCUGCAGCUUCUGGUGAACCGUGACAACAUGAACUAUGAAGGUAGUGAGGAGCCUGUGGACAGAGCUCUGUCCUGAUUGGUUGAUUAUUUGGCUCUAAAUUUAUAGAUAUUUGUGUUCGAUCCAGACGUGAAAACGGGUCGUGAAAAGCAGCUGCAAGAACAGUUUUUUUGUUGUGAUCGUGCUUUUCACAAAUGACACUUUUAACAUCUAAAAACAGAGAUCUGACUCCAUGAUGAGGUUUGCGUGAGAACAGCUUUUCACUGCCGGUAAAAAAAAGAACUUUUGGGACUUUGGCGGCAGACGGUCCUUUUAGCGGCUGUUCCCGAGCUUUAAAUCACGUCACAUGAUCUUUUCCAGCAGAUGGAGUUUGUCCCAUUUCUCUAAUGUUUUAGAUUUUCCAAAUGUGCUUUUAUUUCAGAGGAUUUGAAGGAUUUCAUGAAGAGACAGAAGUUAAAAUAACAAAACCUUUAAAGCUGCAGCAGGAAAAAAAAAAAGGAAUAUUUAAUUUAUUUAAUCGUUGGUUAUUUUUGUGCGGUUGCUUUGUUUGUUUUGGUUUAAUACGACGUCGACCUGCACGUGUGUGUGUGUGUGUGUGUGUGUGCAGAUGUCACGCCGCUCCGACAGUUUGACUUCAGUGUUUAAUCUGUUUAAUCCUCUGCUCUGCUCUCGUCUUAUCUUCCUGCUUCAUGAUGUUUGUUUGGAGAUCUCCACUUUUGUGUGUUCCUGAUGACAGCAAACACAUGCGAGCGCCGCGCGCACUCCACUCCAACCAAAUCCUCUUUACUGCCGCUAUCAGGAAGGUAAAUCUGAUCCAGUCAUCUUGCAUUUGUAAAAAAAAGACUCGCUGCUUGAAUUUAUCCGUGCAGGUUUGUUUUCCAUCUAACUGACGGCAGAGAGAGAAAAAAAAGAAAAUCUCUGGCAAAAUGGCCAAAGCUGAUAAAUCCAGAUAAUCUCUUCAGUCCACAGAUCUUCAGCAGCAGCAGCAGCAGCCUGACUCUGCUGCACACUGCAAAAAAGAUCAGCUGAAUAUUCAAACAUUCAAGAUUUCUGUUCUUCAAGAGAGGAGGGAUGAAAUAUUUGACCAGAGAAUGAAACUUGGUGUCGAAGUCUGCAGCAGAAAACGAGAUUAAAAUCCAGAAAUUUAGAUUUGACUUUGAGGAACAUGAGAAGAUCAGACAAUAAAAUAAACAUCCUGUUUUACAAAUCUAAAUUUAGUGUCAGAGGGAUGAAAGUUACUGAAGUGUGAACUGAUUUUCCUCCAGAUGAAAAAUGGAGAGUCACUGCGACAGUCUCGAGAAAAAGUGUCACAGAUGAAGCAAAGACAGUCAAACACCUGAGAAUAUGGAUUAAAACAAAAAUAAAAUUACCGUAAAAUAUGAAAUAUAGUGGCACUGUAAUUUGGAGACUUCUGCUCCUUUCAGAAACGUGCAGUUUUCAUGCGGAUGUGAAGCUCAUGAAAGAACAUCUGUGGUUUUCUCCUUCACUGAUGGACUCACUGCAAACAACUGAAUAAGAAGAUUUUCUUCAUCUUGGUUCUUCCAUGAGUUUUACACAGAGGUCAGACUUUUCCACAGGAGACAGGAGUCAGUCCGUUUCCAUGACACUCAAGAAAACCGAAUUAUCGCCUUAUUCCGAUUAAGACCGGACAACUGAAGGUCAUGUAAACACUUUAGUCCGACUAUAAUCAGAGUUUGAGAACUCUGAUGAAGACACUCAGAUAAUGAGAUUAGAAUUCGAUUUUCUCUACCAUGUAACCAGCGUAGUCGGACAAUGCAUGUGCACGUGCGACACGCCACCAGAGUAGAGGAGUAGCGUUGGUCUCAUCUUUAGAAAAAGUAGCGCGUCCAUCAUGUCGGACAAAAACAACGCUGUACGAUGCUCCAUCUUCUUGUUUCUCCAAAAUGUCCAGCAGCAGUUGUAGACACUUCUGACGUCUGACACCGACCUGCUGUUGUUGUUGACGGUUGUAUGGGGUCGGAAACAGACCCAUAUCGCCCCCUAGUGUUGGGGAGGAGGACACGUAAUUUUCUCAGCUGCAUGUACACACAGUGACCGGAUCUUAACCGAGUGUUACAACGACGCUGACAGGAGAAGAUGAAUCUUAUUUUUUAAUUCCUCUCUCUGUUUUUUUUUUUCUCGCUCACCCUCAGGAAGUGCAUUUCCACACUUCCUUAAAAGGCAUUCUCAUUGGCUCUCUCAUGUUGAUUGUUAAUUGACUGACAGGAAACCUAGUGCAUCACAUCCAUUACCUGUAGGUGACCAAAGUGAAAGUUCUGAAGUUAAUUUGAUGUUCGAACUCUGACGACCGUGACCUGAGGUGAAAAACUAAAGAGGUUCAUUCGGCCGGUCGAUGAUAAAUUUAUAAAACAGUUUGUCUCUAAAGGACAGAAAAGUAAAAAACAUUUUUCCGCCUCCCUUCCCUCUGCAGCCUCAUCAGAGGUUCACGUGGCGUCGGCGUGACGUCGUCUGUGAUGAGUUAUUUCUCGUCCCACCUGAGAUGGCCGAAACUUGUUAGGAACAAAACUUUUUUUUUACCUCUCUGGCCUUUAUAGAUGAACCGUUUUAUAAACGCUGAAAAACUGACCUUUCACUCGUUCUCUUCGUACGUGUCUUUUUUGUUCGCAGACUGAAGUUGUGAGUUCUGAGCUUGCAACUCCCAUUAGGGGUUUUCCAGAAAAGUCUGCAGAGCUGUGUGAUGAUAAAGAGGGAAAAAAACAUACUUAUUCUUCUUUGUGCUGUUCCUUUUUUUUUUUUGUGAAGUAGUUUGAAAGAAAAAUAACUCUCUGACUGAAAUGGUUGCAGCCCCCAAAACACAGCAAGACUCCUGCGAUGAAGAAUUGCUGGCGGUGAAGACUGUGAUUUAUUUUUAAGGGUUCACGGGCCGAAAAGGUUGAAAACAGCAGCUAUAAGGGACUGUGCAGGCUGGAGCUCAGUGCCAAAAACAAGAUUUAGUCUCUGCUGUAAAACCUCGAGGAGGAAAUGAAGAUCUUCUCUCCGUGUUUGCAUGUUGUUCAAACGCCGACACUGCAUGCUGCGGAGUAUUUACAGUGACUCUGUUCUCCUUGUGUAGCUCUAAUCACACAACAUCAGUCCUUUUCCUUUUGUUGUAUCUUUUGCAGUCGUGUUGUGUAAAGCUGGGAUGCGACGGGGCAUAAUUACAAAUUCCAGAAUGUUAAUAAAGGAGCGGCUGCUGAUUUAGCUAAGAGGCUCAGUGUGUACCGUUUAAAGAC
rnacentral:lncRNA from 1 species